UUCCGAGAGGGGACAGACCAUUUUGACACCUCUUGUCUUUUGCAGCUUUGAGAGCCCUGAGAUUCAGCCCCUGCUUGGGACAUAGUGGCUAUAGGGAGAGUCUUCUCAGGCAGUGAACCGAGAAAGAAGGUUGCAUGGGGUCCUCCUGAGACACACCUAGGCACUCUGAAAAAUAUUUCAGUGAAACUUCUAUGGGGAAGUGCUGGAGGCCUGUGUCAGCAGGUGGGAGGCCCCAGUGACAUCUGUUAAUGUGGAUUCAUUUGUCCCUCUGGUGCUGGGCCUGAGCAAAUUUGGGAUGCACAUACAUCCUUUCAUUGGAUUCUUGUUAUAUCCCUUUGAGGUCAGCAUAGCAAGUACUGUAGACUCAUUUUUUUUUUUUUCUGCAGAGGAAGAAACUGAGGCUAAAGAACAAAAACUUGCUGAAGGUCACUCAGCUUGGGCUGUGGGACUUGUUUUCCUGCCCCGAGCCCAGCGUCCUUCCCACCAUCCAACACUGUUUCCUUUCUUGGUACCUCCAUUAUUAGAACACCUGGAUAUUCUUAGCUAACAAUGGAUGACAUAAAUAAACACACGGUCAUUUCCCCACAUUUCCGCACAGGUCCUCUGCAGAUGGCAGAGCCCUUUCUCUAAAUGCAUGGCAUGAAAAGGCAUUUCAAAGGGAGAAGCAGGCCCCCCACAAAGGACAUAAAUCUCUACAGAUGAGGAUACCUCACUGGGCUUUUGUUUGUCAGCCAAAAAGGGAAAAACAUUUCAGCAGAGGCCUCAAAGGCAGAACAAAAUAGUGCAAGGAGCCGCACAUCCGCACAGUGCUGAGACCCUGCCCAGGACAAGCUUGAUCCUGGCACCCAAGUGACAACCUGCAUUGAAAAGGCGGAACUUGGCUCUCCUGCCCUGCCAGCUGUAAGAGCUUGAAAGCAAAGCUAUGGGGGGAAUGUCUUUCAUUUCCCCCUGGAAGCUGGGAGGACGUUCAGCUUAGCAUUGCCAACUGUGUAAUGUGGACUUGCCUCUAAAAGAAGCCUUUUUCCUUGGAUGUCUUUCAGGCCGCAGUAUUCCCUUUGGCACCCCCACCCACCUGGAACAAAGCCUGAUGUAAAGUCUGGGUGCGACUCAGACCGGCCUGGGAAAGAAUUUAUUUAAUAAAUGGUGGAAAGUGGCUUC
rnacentral:lncRNA from 1 species